CAAAUUUAAUAUUAAUUUGCAAAUAUAACGAGCCUUUCAUGCCAAAUAGUGUCCCCUCUACGUCACAAUGGAAUUCUAUGAGUUGCUAGGGCUGUUGCUAGAGCUUGCAACAGUCUGAUCGGAUUAGGUAAUGAACCAACACAUCAAAAAAAAAUAAUAAUAAAAAAAAAAAAAGGACGGUAUUUUUGACGGUGACAGCCUGUGACUACCUGCUGCUUCAGAAGACAGAAUAGACUGGAAAGAGAACACUUUCUUUACCAUGUAUUUGUCUUUAUAUAAAUACAAAUAGGAAUAAAUAAUCUAAACUGUUUUUAGAUUGACGUUGCUAGCUAUUGUACUUAUAUACCUCAGCCUGCCUAGUUAGCUAGCCAGCUAGCUAGCCAGACAGUUGUGUUUAGCUAACGUUAGCUAGCUAGCAAGCAAACGACUAACUGUUGAUGGAGCUUUCUGUUUGUAUGUAAUAUUAGCUUGCACUUCAAUGGCAUCCCUCGAGGAGAUUUUCGUUUUUCUUUCCAACCAGGCGAAGGAAUAUUACUAUGAAGACAUCACUGAUCUCGACAAGAGGCGUAAUAAUCUGAGAAAUUCACAAUUCAGGGAUGGCCAGCCACACAGGAGGGUGAUUUUUAUCAAGGAGGCCGUGCUGACCGAGAUGCAUGCUGGCCAUUUCGGAGUGAAGUGGAUGAUUGGCAAAAUCAACCUACGCUUCUUCUGACGUGGAAUUGUCAAGGAGGUGGACAGCUGGGCAAGUGAAAUGACCUUUUGUUUAUCAAUCACAUUCUAUUAUAUCUGAAAUUAUGAUUUCAAUGAAUGUCAUGUCGGAGAUAACACAAUAUUUCAAUUUGUCACUUCUUGCUUAAAAGGUCAGUACCAUGUCUAGCCUGACAGAAGUUUGAGAGGGCGAAGACUGUAGCGCCGGAGUUGAAGCCCAUCAAUGUUGUUUCACUAUGGCACAUGAUCGUGGACCUCAUCGGACCCUUCAAGAAAUCCAGGAAUGGCAACAGUUAGUGUCUGACGGCGACCGAUCACUUUACCAAGUGGAUGGAGGCAUUGCCCAUUAAUGUCAGUAAAGAAAGAGACAAGACUAGCAAGGCCACCUCCUCACCUACCCCCCAGGAGGUAUCCCCUCCACCAGAACCAGUGAGUUCAGUUCAGUCUGAUUCUGAGUCGGAAGGGGACCAGCUUGAGGAGCUAGGACCUGCACAACACCCAACACCCAGACGUUAUUAUUGUACCUGAUGUCCUCCAUUACCAACCACCCUCCAGCAACUUUUCAUUACAUCUACAACAACUGUUAUUGUCAUUAUCUGCUAAGAAACUUUUCUUGCUCUAUCAUACCGGGCACAUAAUAUGUGAGAUACAUAGAUAACUAAAAUCACUAGCACUGCAAACACUCAGAACAAAGAGAUCAGCAGUGCCUGGACUUUGCAGUCUCCCUCUUCAAGUCCCCCUUCUGAGACUGGCUGCCUGUUGAGAACAAGUGACCACCUCCUUUAUAUUCCAAACACCAGAAUUCAGUAUUUUAGUCAAUGAUUGCCAUGUGAGUGCACAAAAAAAUCUGUGAAAAUAAAUGAAUGACACAAUUGUACCAAAAAUUCUGAAAGGUUAUGUAUUAAAUUCUUAAAUAUUGCCAGGUUGGUUUUCACAGCUGUUUCACAAGGUGUUCAUUAUUGUAAGGUAUCCUUUGAUUGUAUUUAUUU